CUCAGGAUGAACGCUGGCGGCGUGCCUAACACAUGCAAGUCGAACGAAGCACUUAAACAGAUCCUUCGGGUGAUGAUUUGUGACUGAGUGGCGGACGGGUGAGUAACGCGUGGGUAACCUGCCCUGUACAGGGGGAUAACAGUUAGAAAUGACUGCUAAUACCGCAUAAGCGCACGAUGGUAGCAUUACCAGGUGUGAAAAACUCCGGUGGUACAGGAUGGGCCCGCGUCUGAUUAGCUAGUUGGCGGGGUAAGAGCCCACCAAGGCGACGAUCAGUAGCCGGUCUGAGAGGAUGAACGGCCACAUUGGAACUGAGACACGGUCCAAACUCCUACGGGAGGCAGCAGUGGGAAUAUUGCACAAUGGGGGGAACCCUGAUGCAGCCAACGCCGCGUGAGUGAAGAAGUAUUUCGGUAUGUAAAGCUCUAUCAGCAGGGAAGAUAAUGACGGUACCUGACUAAGAAGCUCCGGCUAAAUACGUGCCAGCAGCGGC
rnacentral:rRNA from 1 species